AAUAAACGCUGGCGGCGUGCUUAACACAUGCAAGUCGAGCGAGAAAGGUCUUCGGACCGAGUACAGCGGCAAACGGGUGAGUAACGCGUAGGAAUCUGCCUUUUAGUGGAGAAUACUCUCGAGAAAUCGAGCUUAAUACUGCAUAAGUCUUGAAAAAGAGAAAGAUGGCCUCUUUGCUGUCGCUAAAAGAUGAGCCUGCGUACUAUUAGCUAGUUGGUAGGGUAAAGGCCUACCAAGGCGAUGAUGGUUAGCCGGCCUGAGAGGGUGUACGGCCACACUGGAACUUAGAUACGGUCCAGACUCCUACGGGAGGCAGCAGUGAGGAAUAUUGCGCAAUGGGCGAAAGCCUGACGCAGCGACGCCGCGUGGAGGAUGAAGGUCUUAGGAUUGUAAACUUCUGUUAAGCGGGAAGAAAAGUAAAGCUCUAAUACAGCUUUAUUAUGACGGUACCGCUAGAGAAAGCACCGGCUAACUUCGUGCCAGCAGCCGCCGUAAAAC
rnacentral:rRNA from 1 species